AUUGAACGCUGGCGGCAUGCCUUACACAUGCAAGUCGAACGGCAGCGCGGGAGCAAUCCUGGCGGCGAGUGGCGAACGGGUGAGUAAUAUAUCGGAACGUGCCCAUUAGUGGGGGAUAGCCCGGCGCAAGCCGGAUUAAUACCGCAUACGACCUGAGGGUGAAAGCGGGGGAUCGCAAGACCUCGCGCUAUUGGAGCGGCCGAUAUCAGAUUAGCUAGUUGGUGGGGUAAAGGCCUACCAAGGCAACGAUCUGUAGUUGGUCUGAGAGGACGACCAGCCACACUGGGACUGAGACACGGCCCAGACUCCUACGGGAGGCAGCAGUGGGGAAUUUUGGACAAUGGGCGCAAGCCUGAUCCAGCAAUGCCGCGUGCAGGAAGAAGGCCUUCGGGUUGUAAACUGCUUUUGUCAGGGAAGAAAUCCUUUGGGCUAAUACCUCGGAGGGAUGACGGUACCUGAAGAAUAAGCACCGGCUAACUACGUGCCAGCAGCCGCAGUAA
rnacentral:rRNA from 1 species